rnacentral:lncRNA from 1 species
GGCACCUUGUUUACCAUGUCAAAUUACAGUCUACUCAACUACAAAAUGGGGGAAAUAAUAAUGUGUAUCCCACAAGGCCAUUCUGUGUGGCAGAUGCUAACAAUUGCCUACCCAACAGCCAGCCAUAUCUUCUUCCUCACUAACAGAACCCAAUCCUCCAUGAACGCUGUGAGCAGGUUGGCCCUAGCCUUAGAUCUUGGUUCAUCUUAGCCAGUCAUGGAGAUCCCUUCUUCUCUUUCAAUAACUGUCUUAGGAAAGACCCAAUACUGGACAACGAGAUGUGGAAUAAGCCUUCUGGGAUGACUUCUGAGAAAUGUUACUUAUCUCUUCAUAUUGGUUUGUGAAGAUGUGAUGCCAAGAGCUUCUGCAGCCAUCUUGCUACUUUUUUUAGGGGGGUGAUCCAUUAUCUAAAUACUUUCAAGAGGCCGAGCUGACUAUUGAUGUAGAAUGAUUCAGACAACAUGAAUUUGCUCCCAGAACUUAUAGCUAUAUCGACAUAUGGAGAGCAAACCAGAAUGUGACCACUGCAGCCCUGUCCUCGUUUUCCUGCCUUCCUGUUCCUCGGAGGGAUGACGGUUUUUGACUCAUUUGCUGAAAGCCUGAUAGACAUCUUGAAUAAUUUACCAACUUCGAGUCUAGAUUUCAAACUUAAGGAAACAGAAAACGUAGGUGCUCAUCCUGGGUACCAGGCAGACACCAGACAGCUCUGAAACCCAGUAGCCACAUCUGCCUUUUCUUUAAAGCGCCAGAGACAGGAACAUUACAAGAGAAACAGAGUGGGAGGUUUAUUAAAGACGCCAGAGCCUUAGGAAGACGCCCGGAUGAGGAUUCGGAAAUACCUCUUGACAUUAAUUUAUCUUCUGCUCCAGAUUCUUCAACAUGUUUAUCUCAAGAAGCGCGAAGUCAUUCCCUUGCGCCCUUCUUCAGGAUGAUGGAGCUUUGGGUGAUUCUCUCCUCCAGUCACUCUGACCCCCUGCACCCGCAACUAGUGCUACACAACUCCCGUCUCCUUAGGAGGGAACUGCUUGUGACAAAGUAGCACAUCCUCAAGUUCUAACAGUAGAUGUCAGCACUAACCUUGCUCAUUUAGUUUUCAGCAUCCGUUCUAACAUAGCACGGUUCAAGUUGUUAUCUGCUCAACAGCAACAUCUUAAGGACAGGAAAUAUCUAAAAUGCUAUUUUUAAAGAAAAUAGAUAAUCAGAUGCUUAUCUUUAAAAAGUCUGAAUUUCCUCUUGGGAAGGAAGAGGUUGAAGAAUUUGCACACAUUCAUGGAGACAAGUGAAAUGCAAAUGGAACCUUGCCUACUUUCAGAUAGCUUUUCUUACUCAUCAAGCUCCCAGACAAAUCUAUUUGUGAUGACAUUCCUGAAGAAAGUAACAGACAAGGCUUCAAGUCAAAAAGAGAAAAUUCGCAUUUUAUUAUAUAAAAUUUACAUCUCGG